rfam:Tupaia chinensis contig222198, whole genome shotgun sequence.
GCACUCACGUCGGCAGCACAUAUAGUAACACUGGAACACAGAGAGUAGAUUAGCAUGGCCCCCGCCCAAGGAUGACACGCAAAUUCGGGAAACGUGCCAUAUUUUU